rnacentral:rRNA from 1 species
AGUGAACGCUGGCGGUAGGCCUAACACAUGCAAGUCGAACGGCAGCACAGUAAGAGCUUGCUCUUACGGGUGGCGAGUGGCGGACGGGUGAGGAAUACAUCGGAAUCUACUUUUUCGUGGGGGAUAACGUAGGGAAACUGACGCUAAUACCGCAUACGACCUACGGGUGAAAGCAGGGGAGCUUCGGACCUUGCGCGAUUGAAUGAGACGAUGUCGGAUUAGGUAGUUGGCGGGGUAAAGGCCCGCCAAGGCCACGAACCGUAGCCUGUCUGAGAGGAUUAUCCCCCACACUGGAACUGAGACACGGUCCAGACCCCUACGGGAGGCCGCCGUGGGGAAUAUUUGGCCAUGGGCGCAAGCCUGACCCAGCCACGCCGCGUGGGUGAAGAAGGGCUUCGGGUUUUAAAACCCUUUUUUUUGGGAAAAAAAAAUGCGUGGUUAAUCCCCCACGUUUUGACGGUACCCCAACAAAAAGCCCCGGCUAACUUCGUG